AGUAAUUCUGAGGAGACAAUAAUUGAGAGUUAGAAUUGUCCAGCAUGUUUUCGUCAGUUCUAUGAUGUUGCUUGAAUGAUAGAUGGAUCAUUUUGAAAGACCACUUGUGGGCAGAGGCAGGAAGCGGCAUAAACAAGAAGCGUCCCUUAUGAAUCAAUCCCAGUGUUUUGAACUAGGCCCAGUUCUGCCCAAUUACUCCCAUGGCACCUGGGAUUUUUAGAUAAUGAGCAAGGGUCCUGCACUCUGUCAUUACUGGCAGCAUAGCGGGCCAGAGGAAAUAAUCAGCGCCAGGCGUGUUGAAAUUGUGAGGAAGCUUGUCUAAUCAAGCCUCCACAGACAUGCAGAACAAUGCAGACACUCUUCUAUGUGGAUGGAAUCCUCAAACAUCUCAAAGCAGGAGGAAAGGAUCGGGUUAGCAUAAUGGCCUCCGUACGCUUUUGUCUCUCUGAAAGAAGGCAACUCAUGUGACGUCAGGUCUGUCACCUGAGAUUGGUUUCCACUGGGUAUGACUGAACAGAAUAUGAAAUGCGGUUCCGUUAGAUACAAGGCUGUUUUGUACCCUCAUCGCCCACUCAUUGCUUUCAAGCCAGGCUUCUUAUUCUUUCUGCCUCUUUUUCAACACUUACUUUGUCCACAAAGCUUCUUUGAUGCAUUUUAUCCCAGGUACUUUAACCCCUUGAUGGAGUUUCUCUGGAAGAGAAAGAGACUGCAGCAGAGUGCAGGGCAAAGACUGCACUUCAAAGAAUCUAUUAUGCUUCCUUGAAGAGGAUUCAUAAGAAGAAUAAAUAACACACAACCUAUUGACCAAUUGGGAGACUUCUGAAGGCAUUUAUAAGUUUUGGAUACUGUGAUAAAAACAGUUUCUUUCCUCUCCAAGUUAGACACUAUUUUGCCUUAGUCUAAAUCCAAAUAGAAGACUUGGUUGAAAUGUGACAAUUUGUGAGCCAGAUGAAUAGCAACAAACUUUUGCAAAGCACUGAAUAUAACCUGUAUAACCUGGCAGCAACAAGGAUUAAUAAACAACAAGUGGCUGAAUACUGGUGCUGGAUUCUGUCCUUGAUUCAAACCGUGGUUCAUCUUCCCUAAAUAUUGAGAGGCUUCACCAUGGUAACCAGUGCUGGUAGAGAUACUGGAGGAGGCUUUUCCCUCACAAAAUAAUUUUCUUCUGAUGUUGUUGUGUGAGGGUUCAGACAGGAAAAACACAAUAUCAUAGUACAUGUUAAACUCAUAAACCCAACUUUAUUUAUUUUGCACCAUGAUGCCUCUACGUCCCCAUUUAAUACAUUCAGUAUAUACAUUUGGCCAUGGGGGACUUUACAGAGAUGCGUUACACUAGUGCAUACAUACGUGGCACGAAAAUGUACACAAGAAAAACUCAGACAUGCCACGUUACCACGAUAAAGCAAUAACAAGAGAGAAGACCCGGGGCGAGUCAAUGGCUGAUGUACGCAGACACACACGCGCAUUCACACACCCAGUUCAUGGCUUUAUGCAUGCACAACAGCUUUUCAACACACACACACACACACACACGCGCGCGCACACACACACAUAACCUUUAAGACACUUCCGAUGGAGAGAGGGGCUCUUUCAGGUUUCUAUAAUAGAAAUACAAGGAUGUUAAGAAUGUCUCUGCUGACUGCAGCAAAUUCCUCUCCCUCAUCACAACUCCCUUCCCUCCAACUCCCUUGUUCUCCAGCUCCACUACAAGUCUCCUUUCCUUUUUCCCAAAGCUAAGGCCUCUCAGCAGGCAGUGCUGCCAUCAUACAUGGGCUCUUUCCUUUAGUAGAGUAGUACUCAUCAGCAGCAGGAACUAAAUAAAGAGCCACUUCUAUCAUAAUCAUAUCUGCUAAACCCUGAACAUUCGCGACAAAAAAAGACAUGAUACAUAGUUUAUCUUAAAAUUAGCUUUCUAUCUUCAGAUAUCUUCUCUCAAGAGAACACAGGUCCACAAUGACAACAUACUAUUCCUCAUUAAAGCACAAAGACACACCCUCAGAAUGCAACGUCUGUCUGCCCACUUCCGACGCCUCUAACCGGGUCACUCUCCCGAUUACGUCUCCUCCUCCUCCUGCCGGACCUAUUGUACCAUCAUAAGCUUUUCACUGAGGCACAAACUCCACCCAGUUUCCCCUUUUAAUGACUGCAGUUUACAGUUGCAUAGCACACAGCAGGAGUAAUGGUGAAAGCCAAAAUGUAUUCUACUUUUAAAAUAAAUUGUUUCAGAUAUCUUGGGUCAUUUCCAGCCUAAACCAUUUUGCUGUUACGUGCUCAAUAAAGCACUAUACAGUACUUGAAACAUGCGUAUUAGACUACAUUUAUGAUGUCACGCUUUGAACAAAUCCAUGUGCUCUGUCAUAAGAAUGAUUUUUGGUUUGGGACAAAGUAGAAAGAUUGGACCAAAAGCCUAACAGUGCUGCUUUGAGGUGCUAAAAAGAUACAUAACAAAAGUAAAAAAAAAAAAAAAA